rnacentral:tRNA from 1 species
GCGGGCAUAGCUCAGUUGGUUAGAGCAUCAGAUUGUGAUUCUGAGGGUCG